AUUGAACGCUGGCGGCAUGCCUUACACAUGCAAGUCGAACGGCAGCACGGGUGCUUGCACCUGGUGGCGAGUGGCGAACGGGUGAGUAAUACAUCGGAACAUGUCCUGUAGUGGGGGAUAGCCCGGCGAAAGCCGGAUUAAUACCGCAUACGAUCUACGGAUGAAAGCGGGGGACCUUCGGGCCUCGCGCUAUAGGGUUGGCCGAUGGCUGAUUAGCUAGUUGGUGGGGUAAAGGCCUACCAAGGCGACGAUCAGUAGCUGGUCUGAGAGGACGACCAGCCACACUGGGACUGAGACACGGCCCAGACUCCUACGGGAGGCAGCAGUGGGGAAUUUGGACAAUGGGCGAAAGCCUGAUCCAGCAAUGCCGCGUGUGUGAAGAAGGCCUUCGGGUUGUAAAGCACUUUUGUCCGGAAAGAAAUCCUUGGCCCUAAUACGGUCGGGGGAUGACGGUACCGGAAGAAUAAGCACCGGCUAACUACGUG
rnacentral:rRNA from 1 species